UGAUGACAUGGACAUAUUCAAAGGUAUAAGUUUGAAGUUGUUGGCAAUGGAACAGUUGCUCGAGCAGCACCCAGAGUGGCGAGGCAAGGUGGUGUUGGUGCAGAUAGCAAAUCCUGCAAGGGGCAGAGGAAAAGAUGUGAAAGAAGUCCAGGCUGAGACUUACUCCACUGUGAAGAGGAUCAAUGAAACAUUUGGGAAGCCUGGAUAUGAUCCUGUCAUCUUAAUUGAUGCACCACUCAAGUUUUAUGAAAAAGUGGCAUAUUAUGUUGUUGCUGAGUGCUGUUUGGUCACUGCUGUAAGGGAUGGAAUGAAUCUCAUACCUUAUGAAUACAUUAUUAGUCGUCAAGGGAAUGAGCAAUUGGAUAAGGUGUUGAGACUAGAACCCUCUAUUCUGAAGAAGAGCAUGUUGGUUAUUUCUGAGUUUAUUGGCUGUUCCCCAUCUUUGAGUGGAGCCAUUCGAGUAAACCCCUGGAAUAUUGAUGCAGUGGCCGAUGCAAUGGACUGCGCCCUGGAGAUGGCUGAGCCAGAAAAACAACUUCGACAUGACAAGCAUUACAAAUAUGUUAGUAGUCAUGAUGUUGGUUAUUGGGCACGUAGUUUUCUUCAGGAUUUGGAGAGGACGUGUCGUGAUCAUUCAAGGAGGAGAUGCUGGGGUAUCGGAUUCGGAUUAAGCUUCAGAGUUGUGGCACUAGAUCCAAACUUUAGGAAGCUUUCAAUGGAGCACAUUGUAUCAGCUUACAAGAGGAACACAACUAGGGCAAUUCUUCUGGACUAUGAUGGUACUCUAAUGCCUCAGGCAUCGAUUGAUAAGAGUCCAUCUCACAAGUCAAUUGACAUCCUAAAUGGCUUGUGCACAGAUAAGAACAACAUGGUUUUCCUUGUUAGUGCUAGAAGCCGCAAGACACUCACUGAAUGGUUUUCUCAGUGUGAGAAGCUAGGAUUAGCUGCAGAGCAUGGAUACUUCCUAAGGUUGACAAGAGAUGCAGAAUGGGAAACAUGCGUUCCUGUAACAGACACUGCUUGGAAGCAAAUUGCAGAACCUGUGAUGCAGCUUUAUACCGAAACAACUGAUGGGUCCACUAUUGAGGACAAGGAAACUGCACUAGUAUGGUGUUAUGAGGAUGCGGAUCCUGAUUUUGGUUCAUGCCAAGCUAAAGAACUUCUUGAUCAUCUUGAAAGUGUUUUGGCCAAUGAACCUGUAACAGUCAAGAGUGGACAAAAUACAGUGGAGGUUAAACCUCAGGGUGUAAGCAAAGGGCUUGUGGCUAAACGCCUACUUUCCUCAAUGCAAGAAAGGGGAAUAUCACCAGAUUUUGUUUUAUGCAUCGGAGAUGACCGUUCAGAUGAAGAUAUGUUUGAGGUAAUUACCAGUUCCAUGGCAGGUCCAUCAAUUGCUCCAAGGGCAGAAGUAUUUGCAUGCACUGUUGGUCGAAAACCCAGCAAGGCUAAAUAUUAUCUUGAUGAUACCGCAGAAAUUGUUAGGCUGAUGCAAGGUUUGGCGUCGGUUUCAGAACAAACAGUUACCGUGUAAGCUGAGUGAAAGGCGUACUCUCUUGUUUUCUCUGUAAAUUUAAGCAUGUAGGUUGAUCUACAUAGUUUUUGCUAUCUUUUCCCGCUUUUCUUUCAUGUACAAAUCGUCAUAGUGUUACUUUAGAGAAGCUGUGGAAGCAGAAACACUUUUUUCCCCUCUUUCUUUAUUUCUUAUUGCAUUUGACCUCUUUGUAGUGCAGUUGUAAAUAUAUAUGUUUGUGCCAUAAAUCUUGAGCUUGUUGAACUGCAGUAAUCUCUAGAUUAAUGUUCUUGGAAAAGCUAACUGUUCAAAAUGUAUCCCUGUGAUGUUAUGCUUCUGCCCGCUCAAGCUCUUCUGGCUAUGUUCUUGGUUGCGGUUAGUACUUUUGGUUCACAGCAGGACAAAGGAAGGAAAGGGUAGAUAAACCGUCUAGUCCAAUUAUGUUAUUUGUCGUAUUUAUGCUUGAUUUUUCUCUCAGCAAGUUUUCUUGGUGGGAAUUCGGCGCCUGUGUAGAUUCUGGUGCAAGUGCUGUAAAUUGUCUUUAUGCAAAAUUUUGUACGUCUACUGGUAUGCCCUAUAAGAUUGUUGUUUUGUGCAAUUGACUUGCUUCUUGUUGGGUUAGGCUUUGUCCCUUUUCAUAGUUCACAUAUGUUUCUUUCUGAAA
rnacentral:misc_RNA from 1 species